CAAUAAACUGAUUUUAGUUUCAACCAUUUUAAUUAUUGAAGGUUAUACCUAGGGAUCUUUGAACCACGAUUAGAUCCGAAUACAUCAAGUUAACACAGUCUGCUGGAACGCGUAGUGGAUAUUUGCCUGCGUCUCUGAUGAUGGUAUAAUCGUGUGCGUGUUACGGGCGGCAGGCCUCCACAUGGACCAAUCAGAGAGAAGAUCUCACUUGGUGGGGAAGUGGCGUGAUCCUGUCGUCGUAUGACGUCUUCUGGCAAACAAUCAAUAAUGGCUCUUACCUAUAUGAUUUUCGAUUUAAAUACAUAUAUACAUUUGCAAAA